UACGUAGGGGGCAAGCGUUGUCCGGAUUUAUUGGGCGUAAAGAGCGUGUAGGCGGCCAUACAGGUCAGCUGUGAAAACUCGAGGCUCAACCUCGAGACGUCGGUUGAAACCGUAUGGCUAGAGUCCGGAAGAGGAGAGUGGAAUUCCCGGUGUAGCGGUGAAAUGCGCAGAUAUCGGGAAGAACACCCGUGGCGAAGGCGGCUCUCUGGGACGGUACUGACUCUGAGACGCGAAAGCGUGGGGAGCGAACAGG
rnacentral:rRNA from 1 species